rnacentral:misc_RNA from 1 species
AAAGAUUCAAAUAACACUUCUAAAAUCAACGCAUAUCUCAUCAACAAUACAUGGCCUCUCCGGUCCAAGUAAAAUCUCACAAAAUAAAAAAUUACGUUUUUACCCUUAGAACUGAUAUUUUAUAAAAAUUACUCAAACAAGCUCUAAAACUUUUAAAAUUUGGCCCCACGGUUCUUAAUAUGGUUAUAAGACUAUUGCAAAAAGA